UGGCAUACCAGUCACCUGGAUGACCUCUCCUGAGACUUUCCCUACCACAUGUAGCAGGUUUAGACAUAUCUCUUCAAUUUGUCUGAAUGUUGAUCGUCAUCAGUGGUUGGUAAGUGACAUUGAUACCAUGUGCCUCAUAUACAUUGUUCACACACAUGAUGCAGAAACAAAAAUGGCAGUAUUACCUGAAUCUCCUCUGUUAUUUCGUUGGUGACUGUUUUGGCCGUGUCAUUCAGUAUGUGUUGCAGCAUUGCACCACUGGAGGGUGUCUUCACCAGAUCAUAAAGUGAAGGCAAUAGCUAGAGGUUGAACAAACUUAUUAGUGAUAUUUCACCAUUCUCAAAAUGUUGAAUCUAGACCUCUCAAAAACAUAGAUGAACAUUUCGUAUCAGUGGGACUCAAAGAUACCUUACCAUAAUGGAGGUUUUAGUAUUAUGAAGCACUUCCUCUGCAGCCAAUAUGUCUGACUGCACUUCCUGUAUAUUGCAGGGGGCUAAAGGUCGGACACUCUCCUGUAACCUCUGACACAGACCUUGAACCAGCUGAGAUGUGGGAUGAAGACAGACAGACACAGGGUAGGAAGAAAAUGAGAGAGCAUCCGAUUCAGAGAGCGAUAGAGAGAAGGCGCGAGAGAGAGAAGGUUGAUGGUGUGGAUGGCGGAGCAGGUGUGAUCUCGCAGGGCACAGGCCAUCUUCACUGCAAAAUCCCUACAAGAGCAAGGGCAAGGAGAGAGAAAGAGGAAUGGAAAAUAGUUAUUCCUGUGAACUAAAAUGAAUAAUGAAGUGUCAACCAAUCACAUAAAUCAAAUGUCAUCCAAAGAUUUCCCACUUCCUCUGUGCUUCUGGCACCAGGUAGACUGUUUUGGGAGAGAAGGAGGGAGGUAAGAGAGGGAGGGAGUAAGGGAUUUUUUAAUGAGGUGAAGGUGUAUCAGGUAGUAGACUACUCACAGUUUGAGCCCACAUCCCUCUAGACACACCUCCUCCAAAGUGGAGGAUCUGUUGAUCAUGAAGAGAACCUGCUCUUGGACCUCUGAGCUCUGCGGAUAGAUACAGAGGGGGAUUAUUAUAGCCAUCCCGCCUCCAUACACGGACAGGAAAUCUAAUCUCAAUGAGAAUCUCCAUAUGAUCUCCAUCUUCAGUGUCAGCCCUUUUCUCUGGUCGCAAACCACCUUAAAUACAUUUUCCUGUAGAAUAUAACUACAUCUGUGCAGUUCAAGACAGCUUCUCUCCCUUAUCAUGAAGGUCAUUUCGCCUGAACUCCAUCAUAGCCAUGUGAUUGCCUAAAGGCACUCCAGUAUCACUAACACAAAAGUAGCUAGAUUAUGAAGUCAUUAUCGUGCCCUGCCUCCAGGGCACAACAGUCUGUGUGUACAUGUGAUGACUGUUGAUAAGCCCUGCUAGGCCCUGCAGCCUAGACCAGGCUGCCAGUUAGGUCAGCCACAGGAUCCCAUCAUCAGCUCACACUGCCAACACGUACAGACAGUCAUGACAGGCCCAGAGAGAGCAGUACUCAGGGAUAGAGAGUGAUAACAUGAGACAGUGAGCUCUCCAACUGGACCUGGAGAAACAGACCAAGAUGUAGCUAAAAUGUUUACCAGUUUGAGGUCUUUGCUGGAGAUCUUGGUGAACCAUUGGUUGAAGGAAAGUGCAGCCACUGAUAAGGCCAAAUCUCUGUUUUCCAGAUGACUGAAAUCCAGGAGGUUGAAUUCCCGACAAUUCUGGACAUAGUAAAUGUUGUCCACAUCCUGACAGAAUAUAAAUCAUAAACACCUUUACUAAUAUUCUUGAUGUGUGACUACGUCAGUUGAUAUUAAUAGUAGAUAAUUUUUUCAAUCAGAAACAUUGAAUGUUGUGUCGUCAUAGGGGGAUGGUAACCUACUCACCCAUUGGACUUCCUCUCUGCAAGGUAAUUCAUUGAAGUCACAUAGAGCAGCAUACGUCUCUGAGAAGCCUCCUGUAGUGUAGAGAACCAAGGAAUGGCAGAGCGAUCAAAUACUGUACAAAUCCACGUCCACACACCUACACAAUGUCCACAUAGUACGAAAGACACAAGUGAGGGGACAAUGCUGCAGUGCUCAGAUUAAUUCUACUGACCACAUGGUCCCAGUGUUCCAGUCAGGUGCUCCUCCACCCGGGUUGCCAGGUUCCACAGCCGCUCCUGCAGGUCUGGAGGGAUCUUCUUCAGGACCUUCCUGAGGGCAGGAAAUCGACACACAUACAUGUCACACAUUUUAAUCGUCUUAAAAUGACAGAUAUUAACAUUAGGUAUCCACUUUAUCAUCGGCAUUGGAUUGAAAUAUGAUUCAGAAGUGACCUCUCUGAGUAAAAAAAGCUCCAUUCCUUGGAUAGAAGAGGAUAGAAGAGGAACCCUAAUCAGUUGGUUAAUGUGUAGAUGUUUCACCUCAGAGGUUUCUGCUAUAAGUAUAUCACAAGCAACUCUCACCAUGUUUGAGGGAGGAAAAUGUCCAUCUGCAUUGCCACGACACUCACCCUGGAGAUGAAUCAGGGAAGAUCUUCUUCAGAGAAGCUGUCACAUGACUGACCAUAGCCUCGAGGUCCUCAACAGACGUCAGACUGAGAGAGUAGGUCUGUCUGUCCGUCUCAAUCACCACCUGAAUGGUCAACACACACAGUACAAAGGUGUCUUUCUAUCGGUCUGUCAACACCAUUAAAUACAACCACCAUGCAGAGACACAGAUACACAUUCUGACAGAAACAUUGUCUAAAUGGUAUAGUGGUUAGUGGACACAUGAACUUGGAAACACAUUAACACUGUCUCUUUAAAAAAAUAUAUAUUUUACCUUUAUUUAACUAGGCAAGUCAGUUAAGAACAAAUUCUUAUUUUCAAUGACGGCCUAGGAACACUGGGUUAACUGCCUUGUUCAGGGGC
rnacentral:lncRNA from 1 species